rnacentral:rRNA from 1 species
AGAGUUUGAUCAUGGCUCAGAUUGAACGCUGGCGGCAGGCCUAACACAUGCAAGUCGAGCGGAUGAAGGGAGCUUGCUCCUGGAUUCAGCGGCGGACGGGUGAGUAAUGCCUAGGAAUCUGCCUGGUAGUGGGGGAUAACGUCCGGAAACGGGCGCUAAUACCGCAUACGUCCUGAGGGAGAAAGUGGGGGAUCUUCGGACCUCACGCUAUCAGAUGAGCCUAGGUCGGAUUAGCUAGUUGGUGGGGUAAAGGCCUACCAAGGCGACGAUCCGUAACUGGUCUGAGAGGAUGAUCAGUCACACUGGAACUGAGACACGGUCCAGACUCCUACGGGAGGCAGCAGUGGGGAAUAUUGGACAAUGGGCGAAAGCCUGAUCCAGCCAUGCCGCGUGUGUGAAGAAGGUCUUCGGAUUGUAAAGCACUUUAAGUUGGGAGGAAGGGCAGUAAGUUAAUACCUUGCUGUUUUGACGUUACCAACAGAAUAAGCACCGGCUAACUUCGUGCCAGCAGCCGCGGUAAUACGAAGGGUGCAAGCGUUAAUCGGAAUUACUGGGCGUAAAGCGCGCGUAGGUGGUUCAGCAAGUUGGAUGUGAAAUCCCCGGGCUCAACCUGGGAACUGCAUCCAAAACUACUGAGCUAGAGUACGGUAGAGGGUGGUGGAAUUUCCUGUGUAGCGGUGAAAUGCGUAGAUAUAGGAAGGAACACCAGUGGCGAAGGCGACCACCUGGACUGAUACUGACACUGAGGUGCGAAAGCGUGGGGAGCAAACAGGGUUAGAUACCCUGGUAGUCCACGCCGUAAACGAUGUCGACUAGCCGUUGGGAUCCUUGAGAUCUUAGUGGCGCAGCUAACGCGAUAAGUCGACCGCCUGGGGAGUACGGCCGCAAGGUUAGAACUCAAAUGAAUUGACGGGGGCCCGCACAAGCGGUGGAGCAUGUGGUUUAAUUCGAAGCAACGCGAAGAACCUUACCUGGCCUUGACAUGCUGAGAACUUUCCAGAGAUGGAUUGGUGCCUUCGGGAACUCAGACACAGGUGCUGCAUGGCUGUCGUCAGCUCGUGUCGUGAGAUGUUGGGUUAAGUCCCGUAACGAGCGCAACCCUUGUCCUUAGUUACCAGCACCUCGGGUGGGCACUCUAAGGAGACUGCCGGUGACAAACCGGAGGAAGGUGGGGAUGACGUCAAGUCAUCAUGGCCCUUACGGCCAGGGCUACACACGUGCUACAAUGGUCGGUACAAAGGGUUGCCAAGCCGCGAGGUGGAGCUAAUCCCAUAAAACCGAUCGUAGUCCGGAUCGCAGUCUGCAACUCGACUGCGUGAAGUCGGAAUCGCUAGUAAUCGUGAAUCAGAAUGUCACGGUGAAUACGUUCCCGGGCCUUGUACACACCGCCCGUCACACCAUGGGAGUGGGUUGCUCCAGAAGUAGCUAGUCUAACCGCAAGGGGGACGGUUACCACGGAGUGAUUCAUGACUGGGGUGAAGUCGAAACAAGGUAGCCGUAGGGGAACCUGCGGCUG